rnacentral:rRNA from 1 species
CAGUCGCCACGGUAAUACGGAGGGGGCUAGCGUUGUUCGGAAUUACUGGGCGUAAAGCGUACGUAGGCGGCUUUGUAAGUUAGAGGUGAAAGCCUGGUGCUCAACACCAGAACUGCCUUUAAGACUGCAUCGCUUGAACGUCGGAGAGGUGAGUGGAAUUCCGAGUGUAGAGGUGAAAUUCGUAGAUAUUCGGAAGAACACCAGUGGCGAAGGCGGCUUACUGGCUCAUUCUAGACGCUGAGGUGCGAAAGCGUGGGGAGCAAACAGGAUUAGAGACCCCCGUAGUCCCUGUCUCUUAUAC